GCCACAUCAGGAUGUGUCUGGGUGGAGACCUCAGCAGGCUGGCACCAGGGCUGGACAGAAAAAAUACAGCUGGACCCUACUCCAGCGUGUCACAGAAAGGCCAGUGGCGACGCCUGCCCCACGUUGCCCUUCUAGAUACCUACUGACCACUCUGGGCCUCCGAGGGAUCAGCGAUGGAGAGGUCCUGAUAGUUCCCCUAAUGGACUUUCUCUCCUGCCUCUCUGCCUUUACUGUUCCCUUGGCCCGAAACUGCCACAUCUCAAAUAUGCCUGCCUCACAAACAUGCCCUUUACACCUCAGCUCAGUCUUCACCUCCUCCAUGAAGCUUUCUCUUAUUCUACCAUGAGCUGAUAGUCACCAAAUCCCAUGUAAAGGCUGGAGUCCAUUCCAAUGGGUCAUGGAAUCAUUCUAUCUGGUCAGUCAGUACCAGUGGUAACAUAUCGUGAAAAUCCCCUCUGAUCCCACCUGCCCCCUCCCCACUCUAUGUAUAUUUCCUUUGCUCUAUUAGUGUCUUGUCUUGUCUUUUUUUUUUUUUUUUUUUUUUUGAGACAGAGUCUUGCUCUGUCACCCGGGCUGGAGUGCAAUGUGAUUUCCACUCACUGCAACUUCUGCCUCCCGGGUUCAAGUGAUUCUCCCACUUCAGCCUCCCAAGUAGCUGGGAUUACAGGUGUCCGCCACCAUGCCUGGCUAAUUUUUAUAUUUUUAGUAGAGACAGGAUUUCACUAUGUUGGUCAGGCUGGUCUCGAACUCCUGAUAACUCAGGUGAGCCACUCGCCUCGGCCUCCUAGAGUGCUGGGAUUACAGGCGUGAGCCACCACACCUGGCCUUAUUCUGUAUUUUC
rnacentral:lncRNA from 1 species